UAAACACACAUCUAAGUGUGUGCUUGGAUCGAUCAGAACCCAGGAGCGACCAGGAGCUCCUCUCCAAAACCCUAGUUCACUAAAAAUUGAUCAAUUGGAGGUUCAAUUCAGUCCCAAAUCGAAAUCUGAUCAUAGAUUCGUGAUCACCUCGUCAAAGGGAUCAUAAGGCAAGGAGUCCGGACCGUCAAGCGGACACGCCGAAGGGAAUACGCAUAGGAAAGGUGUGCUCUAAAGGUAAAGAUGCUCUUUAGACCCAGAGGAUGAUCAAGCCAUGUCAAGAACCGAACACACCGAACAAAGCUUCCGCAUUUUGUCUAUUUUGUUUUAGUGACAUGUAAACACUUGAAAUUAUGUUUUGAAAGUUUAUCUAGCAUGAUGUAGACUUGAAUGUUAUGAUCAAGUAUGAUCUUAAAACCAUGAAGUUUUUGUAAACUCGAAAAAUUUUGUACUAAAUGCAUGAUAAAUGUCAGAAAUCCUGUUAUUUUAA